UUUUUUUUUAAUGAAUAGUGCCUUCCUUAUAAUGAAGAUAACAAUGACAUUCACAAUUAAAGACCCUUAUGGUAAGUAUUAGACACUGUUAUAGAAUGUAACAUCUAUCCACUAAAUAUAUCUAUAAAGUGCAUACACACGUAUCCAAAAAUACUUAUUCAGAGGUCUUCGCCAAAACUUUGGAAGCUGUAUGAUGCAUUACUGUUACAUGAACUAGCAGUGCCAAUUCAGCAGAUUUGUAGUAAAAAACCUGCAAUCAGAAAAAACCACAUAGAUCACAAAAAGACAGAAGAAUUAUGAGUGACAAAAUGCCGUCAGAGAACGGACACAUCCCAAAAGUUUUACUUAACAGCUUAUGAAAACAUUUUGAAUAUUUGAGGUUAUUACUUACACUAAACUUAUACUCAAGUUUCAUCUUCCCCUAAAUACAGGUGAUGCAUUCGUACUUUAAAUAUAUUACUAUUACAUGGCUGCAACCAUUUUCCUGUGUGCAAUGAUAUAUAUGUAACUUGAGACUCAGGAGAUCUGCUGUAUCUGUAGCACUUAUAAUAUGUUGCAUGUGAUCCUUAGUGUAAAAGAUUCUUCUUUCUCUUCCCUUUCUCUCUCCACAUGGGCAUGAAUUCUAGUUAUAUAGCUGUAAGAAGAGGAAGUAAGGAUUACCUCCAGUUUAAAAUGCCUUUUUUUUUUUGUUCACUUAUGUUUUUACAUUUGUUGCUUGCUUUGAUUUGUGCUUGUAUUUUCUCUUCUGUUGAACAAAGGUUACUGCCUGUUGCUGUGUUUUGUUUCUUUUCCACCAGCACAUAGUUUGCACGUGCUUAAGUAGUAAAUACUAUAACAUUAUCAAAAAGAGUGUUACUUAGAAAAAUCCCUCCACAUUUAGUUAGUAAUUUAGAUGGUGAAUAUACCCCUACUACCUAGAUGCUAUUUACAGUUUCAAAGUUGUUAUGGUUUAAUCCCAGCUGGCAACUAAGCACCACACAGCAAUUCAAUCACUCCCCCCUGGUGGGAUGAGGGAGAAAACACGAAGAGUGAAAGUGAGAAAACUUGCAGGUUGAGAUAAAGAUAGUUUGAUAAAUAAAGCAAAAGACACCCACGUAAGAAAAGCAAAACAAUAAAUUUAUUCACUAUUUCCCAUCAGCAGGCCGGUGUUCAGGAUCUCCAGGAAAGCAGAGCUCUAUCAUGCAUAAUGGUUACUUGGGAAGACACACUGUGACUCCAAACAUCCCCCCCUUCCUCCUUCUUCCCCCAGCUUUACAUGUUAAGCAUGAUGUCAUAUGAUGUGGGAUAUCCCUUGCGUCAGCUGUCCCGGCUGUGUCCACUCCUAACUCCUUGUGCAUGCCCAGCCUGAUCGCUGGUGCGGUAAUUUGAGGAUCAGAAAAGGCCUUGACUCUGCAUAAGCCUUGCUCAUCAGUAAUGAAAACAUCCCCGAGUUAUCAACACUGUUUUCAGCACAAAUCCAAAACAUAGCCCCACACUAGUUACUGUGAAGAAAAUUAACUCUUCCCCAGCAAAAACCAGCACAAAAGUAUAACUGGACAAAAGCAAUCCACAAAAGGAUAGUUUGUCAGAUAAAAACAUCAGAGCUUCCACCAGGAAAUACAUUGACAGUCAAACUGAAGUAAACAAUAAGACAUUCUAAAAACUAAAUUAAAGAUAUAUUCUUCUCAUACUCUUUAGAGGAUAGUCAAAUUCUAGAAAUGGUAGAAAAGGAAGAUAAAUUCCUUCAAGAAGAUAAAUUCCUUCAAUGCCUGAGUUCCCUUAUGGAACACGAGACCAAUGUGUAUUUUAACAGCCUCACAAAUGUUUAAUGGUUGAGAAUCAUUUUAUAAAAACAGGUAUAGUUAUGAACGUUAUCAUUUGUAUUUUGGAUUGCUUCCAAACACAAAAAGAGAAUCUAUAGGUAAUAAUCUAUAGGUAAUAAUAAUCACUACUGCCAAAUAUUUUUGGUGCAAAGUGAACAUCUCCUUCCAACACAUGAGGCUUCACCAUCAUAUAUUAUUCUAAAUGAUGCAGUGGCCAAAAAAAAAAAAAACAAAACCCCACUUAAAAUCAUUUAAAUCUUAUCUACUUUGUGUUGCCACCUUUUCAGUUUAUUACAGAUAUCUAAAUUGCUUAUUUAGACAACUGCUGUAUAAAGAGGAAAACAAAAGUGCUCAGUGACUGUGAUGUUCUUUUAGCAUUAUAGUUCAUCUGACCUCUAAUACUUUUUCAUAAUUUUAAGUGAAGGAGAGUGGAAUCAAAAUGCAAAAUCUCACUUACAAAGUAUACUAAAAUUUUACUGUUGAUUUAAUACAUACAAAUGCAUUUUGCCAUACUUGGUUCUUCAGUUGGAAGCGUGACAUCUGAAUCAAAAUCAGCAUGAAUUCAAAUAAUAUUUUACUGCUGUGGUCCACAAUAAUUAUAAAACUUUUUUUUUUUUCUCAAUCUUGUCUCAAUUAGAUGGAUUAUUUAAGUAUCUUGAGAAGGUGGUGUUCAAGGAAAUAAAGACAGGCGAAAAAUUCUGUUAUAUACUGAAUGGAGAAAUUAUAGUAUCUCCAAAAGAUUUUCAGGACCUACUUAGAUGAUCAAAGUAGAUGCCUAAUACCUUCAGUAACCAAAGGAACCUGAAAACUGAGACAAAAUUUUAAAAUUUUGAUAUUUGAGAACAUUAAAACAUGUCAUAACUUUCUGAAAGUUCACUAUGCCUACUGUAUCAGGCUCAUUUUCUCUGGCAAAUUUUUAAUUUUCUAUCUAAAAACAUAUUACAAAUUUCUCUUUUAUUUAAUCUUAGGUAAACAACAGAUCUAACCUAUGUAUUUAUGACUACUAAAGGGAUUUCUACAUUUUACACAUUCAUUCCUAUUGUAGUUGUGAUAUAAUACUAAUGCCAUCAAGCCUAUGUUUUUCUGAUCAUGAAAUAUAACUCCAUUUAUUUUAUCAGUUGCCAAUGGCCACAAGAUAGAUAAAAAUCUGGCAUUUCUUAGUCUGUGUAUUUUUAGCUACUGGUUUUUAAAUUCCUAUGCACCAUUUAAAAUCUAAUAACGCUUGCCAGUCAUUUGGUAAUCUGAAAACAGUCCCAGUAAUAACAUCAUCAUGUGGCUGUCAAACAAUUGGCAGUCUAACUGGCUCUCCCUUUAUGAUGUGAACUGUGUGUGAUGUGUCCCACAAACAAAUGGAAGAGUUUUCACUAGUGAGUACAUUCCCUACAAUUUUCAAUGUUUGCUCCUAUAACAUUCCAGGAGAGCUGGAAAAUCCACUCCAGGAUCAUUUGCCAUUUCUCUGUGCACAGCAACAACGCCUUCUUUGAUUUCUGCCACUUUACAGAGCUAAGUAGUGGCUCUAGCAGCCUGCCACUAACAAUCAGCUGAAUAGAAGUGCUCUGACAUGAUGCUCAGUUGGGACCACCAUUCACAGCAGCAUACUCAACUUCAGCUAAGCCUGAUACCUUAAAGUACUUAUUUAGCUACUUUUAAUAAAGAACAGAAGAUAAGAAGUCUUUUAUUUCCUGCCAAGAGGCAUGCUGGGUCUAGUGAUGAAGGGUGGAAGCAGGUUAGGUUCAAGAAUUUCACCUUCCCGGUGUGAUGUCUUAUCAAGAUGUCCACAGCAUCUCCAUGAUUUGGCUCACUAACUCAAUUAAUAGUCCUUAGACAAACGUUUUCAGUUCUGAAUUAUUUCCUUAGCAGAGGUAGAUCUUGUUUGA
rnacentral:lncRNA from 1 species